GUUUGGGCCCUAAUCCUGUACUCAUUUACAACACAUUUGCACAUAAUGAAGUGUGACAGCACCUAAUACACAACGUGCAAACCUGGCAAUACUGCAUUUGUAACCUAGCAACCACCCAAAUGAAUGGAAACAUCAGGUGAAUAAAUGCAUGGUUUACCCAGAUUGAGGUUGUAAUUGAUACUGGUGUAGAGCUUCCCCUGUAGCUCCAGGGUUAUUACCACAAGCUUUCAGGUGGCAGACCCUAUGCCAGAGCUGUGUUUGACGGGUGGGUGGUUAGGUAUUGAGUAGACAGGUAGAGCUUUCUCUCUUCUGUCUGGAUUUACAGUCAGAGAAGGAAUGAAAAGGCCAAAUAUGCUACUACUCUGUAAAACCAAGUUUAGGCUCACUCCAAAAUACAUGUGCGCUAGUCCAAAUCAGUAGGAGGAGUCUAAAAUAUGAUAUUUUGACAAGCACGGCAAAGUAAACUGAUG
rnacentral:lncRNA from 1 species